AGCUCCAAUAGCGUAUAUUUAAGUUGUUGCAGUUAAAAGCUCGUAGUUGGAUUUCGGAUUAGUGCGACCGGUCCGCCGUUUCGGUGUGCACUGGUUGCGUUAGUCUUGCUGUCGGGGACGCGCUUCUGGCCUUAACUGGCUGGGACGUGGAGUCGGCGAAGUUACUUUGAAAAAUUAGAGUGUUCAAAGCAGGCCUACGCUCUGAAUACAUUAGCAUGGAAUAACGCGAUAGGACUCUGGUCUUAUUUUGUUGGUCUUCGAGACCGGAGUAAUGAUUAAGAGGGACAGUUGGGGGCAUUCGUAUUUCAUUGUCAGAGGUGAAAUUCUUGGAUUUAUGAAAGACGAACUUCUGCGAAAGCAUUUGCCAAGGAUGUUUUCA
rnacentral:rRNA from 1 species